rnacentral:rRNA from 1 species
CCCUGGAAACGGGGUCUAAUACCGGAUACUGACCCGCUUGGGCAUCCAAGCGGUUCGAAAGCUCCGGCGGUGCAGGAUGAGCCCGCGGCCUAUCAGCUUGUUGGUGAGGUAAUGGCUCACCAAGGCGACGACGGGUAGCCGGCCUGAGAGGGCGACCGGCCACACUGGGACUGAGACACGGCCCAGACUCCUACGGGAGGCAGCAGUGGGGAAUAUUGCACAAUGGGCGAAAGCCUGAUGCAGCGACGCCGCGUGAGGGAUGACGGCCUUCGGGUUGUAAACCUCUUUCAGCAGGGAAGAAGCGAAAGUGACGGUACCUGCAGAAGAAGCGCCGGCUAACUACGUGCCAGCAGCCGCGGUAAUACGUAGGGCGCGAGCGUUGUCCGGAAUUAUUGGGCGUAAAGAGCUCGUAGGCGGCUUGUCACGUCGGUUGUGAAAGCCCGGGGCUUAACCCCGGGUCUGCAGUCGAUACGGGCAGGCUAGAGUUCGGUAGGGGAGAUCGGAAUUCCUGGUGUAGCGGUGAAAUGCGCAGAUAUCAGGAGGAACACCGGUGGCGAAGGCGGAUCUCUGGGCCGAUACUGACGCUGAGGAGCGAAAGCGUGGGGAGCGAACAGGAUUAGAUACUCUGGUAGUCCACGCCGUAAACGGUGGGCACUAGGUGUGGGCGACAUUCCACGUCGUCCGUGCCGCAGCUAACGCAUUAAGUGCCCCGCCUGGGGAGUACGGCCGCAAGGCUAAAACUCAAAGGAAUUGACGGGGGGCCCGCACAAGCGGCGGAGCAUGUGGUCAUUAAUUCGACGCAGCGCGGAAGAACUCUUUACCGAGGUCUUGACAUACACCGGAAAAAGCCAUCAGAGAUGGUCGCCCCC